rnacentral:rRNA from 1 species
GAUGAACGCUGGCGGCGUGCCUAACACAUGCAAGUCGAGCGGAGAAUUGUUGCUUGCAACCCUUCUUAGCGGCGUACGGGUGAGUAACACGUGGGUAACCUGCCCUAAACAAAGGGAUAACAAUGAGAAAUCAUUGCUAAUACCGUAUAAGCUUACACUAUCGCAUGAUAGAGUAAGAAAAGAUUUAUCGGUUUAGGAGGGGCCCGCGUCUGAUUAGCUAGUUGGAGAGGUAACGGCUCACCAAGGCGACGAUCAGUAGCCGACCUGAGAGGGUGAUCGGCCACAUUGGGACUGAGACACGGCCCAAACUCCUACGGGAGGCAGCAGUGGGGAAUAUUGCACAAUGGAGGAAACUCUGAUGCAGCAACGCCGCGUGAAGGAAGAAGGUUUUCGGAUCGUAAACUUCUAUCUACAGGGAAGAAAAAAAUGACGGUACCUGAGGAAGAAGCCCCGGCUAACUACGUG